rnacentral:ncRNA from 2 species
CUCCCAACCCCUGUGACAUACCAAUUGUUGCCUCGGCGGAUCAGCCCGCUCCCGGUAAAACGGGACGGCCCGCCAGAGGACCCCUAAACUCUGUUUCUAUAUGUAACUUCUGAGUAAAACCAUAAAUAAAUCAAAACUUUCAACAACAGAUCUCUUGGUUCUGGCGUCGAUGAAGAACGCAACAGAAUGCGAUAAGUAAUGGGAAUUGCAAAAUUCGGUGAAUCAUCUGAUCUUUGAACGAUCAUUGGACCCGCCAGUAUUCUGGCGGGCAUGCCUGUUCGAGCUUCGUUUCAACCCUCAAGCCCCCCGGAUUGGUGAUGGGGAUCGGCGAGCCUCAUGAUUUGCCGGCCCCUUUAUACAGAGGCGGUCUCGCUGCCCUUCCAUUGGGGACCACUGGAACCCUCUCCCCUGGUACCCGGCGCGGCCUGAUCGUUAAAGGCCCCUUCUGAAUGUUGACCUCGGAUGGGAGUGAAUACCUCCUGAACUUCCCUCAUCAAGAUCCGCUAGAAA